rnacentral:rRNA from 1 species
CGUAGGUGGCAAGCGUUGUCCGGAUUUAUUGGGUUUAAAGGGUGCGUAGGCGGCCCUGUAAGUCAGUGGUGAAAUAUCUCAGCUUAACUGAGAGGGUGCCAUUGAUACUGCGGGGCUUGAGUACAGAUGAGGUAGGCGGAAUUGACGGUGUGGCGGUGAAAUGCAUAGAUAUCGUCAAGAACACCGAUAGCGAAGGCAGCUUACCAAGCUGUAACUGACGCUGAGGCACGAAAGUGUGGGGAUCAAACAGGAUUAGACACCCUGGUAGUCCACACUGUAAACGUUGAUGACUCGAUGUUGGCGAUACACAGCCAGCGUCCAAGAGCAAUCGUUAAGUCAUCCACCUGGGGAGUACGCCGGCAACGGUG